UACGAAAGGGGGGGCUAGCGUUGCUCGGAAUCACUGGGCGUAAAGCGCACGUAGGCGGCUUUUUUAAGUCAGGGGGUGAAAUCCUGGAGCUCAACUCCAGAACUGCCUUUGAUACUGAGAAGCUUGAGUCCGGGAGAGGUGAGUGGAACUGCGAGUGUAGAGGUGAAAUUCGUAGAUAUUCGCAAGAACACCAGUGGCGAAGGCGGCUCACUGGCCCGGUACUGACGCUGAGGUGCGAAAGCGUGGGGGAGCAAACAGG
rnacentral:rRNA from 1 species